GUCCCUAUCUGCCGUGGGCGUUGGAGAUUUGACGGGGGCUGCUCCUAGUACGAGAGGACCGGAGUGGACGUACCGCUGGUGUACCUGUUGUUUCGCCAGAAGCAUCGCAGGGUAGCUAUGUACGGAAGAGAUAACCGCUGAAAGCAUCUAAGCGGGAAACUUGCCUGAAGAUAAGAUCUCCCGGAGGUUUAACCUCCAUAAAGGGUCGUUGAAGACCACAACGUUGAUAGGUCAGGUGUGGAAGCGCAGUAAUGCGUUAAGCUAACUGAUACUAAUUGCCCGUUAGGCUUGAUCCUAUAACC
rnacentral:rRNA from 1 species